rnacentral:tRNA from 1 species
UCCCCAGUGGCUCAAAGGUUAAAGCGUCUGCCUGCAAUGCAGAAGACCUAGGUUCGACCCCUGGGUCGGGAA